UUAAUGACUAAGAGAGUAGACCCCUUUGCUUCUUUGUUAUGGCAAUUAUGAGUUAAGACCAUUAUGGAAAUGUUGAUUACAUUUGGUAUUUUCAAGUUGGAAAACUUGACAACUAAAAAUUCCUUUGAAAGAUUUAUCAGGGUGAAGUCUGCGCUUCUUUGUUGCAGUCUAAUGUGCACAUGGAUUGGUUGCAGUCAUCCAGUGAAAGGUGUGAUUAAACUUAGCUGUUUGCAUGCAGUCUUUGGUGCCGAUUUUGUCCUGGAGUGUGGGAGAGUUCCAUGCUUCAAGCCUUCUGGGAUCAGCCCAUAUCUGAGUUGACGCUGGAUCAUGCUGCAUUGUGGUUGCCAAAAUGUUGGACAUCUAAUAGAACUGCAAGAAGACUCCUUGAAAUGGUUUAUGUUUACGUAGAAGUGAUGUUGCUGUCCUAUAUGGCAUGUUGAUGCAGCCUAUACUGGUGAAAGAUUUUUUUCAUCGAGUUGUGCUGUUGCUGUUCCUUGGUGCCGGACUACUGGUGUUGUGCACAAAAGUUACAUCCAGUUGUAAUUGUUAUUUGUGUCUAUGCAGUUAACCGUUUAAAUGU